rnacentral:lncRNA from 1 species
UUACUACUACAAGAUCAUCUACCACCCCGGUAGAGGUAAUGUGGUCGUUGAUGCUCUAAACUGGAAGGAGUCUGCUUUAUUAGCCCCGUCAAUGGCCUCUAGUUGGAAGUUAGUUAAUGCAAAUCAGGCACUCUACCUUAACCAUUAUGGCAAUGGUGCCUAUCUCACACAUAUCCAAGCUUUGCCUGGUCUUUUCAAGAAGAAUUGGGAAGCCUAAUCCACUGACCUAAAGAUAACC